GUUUGGGCAAAUUUAGUUGGCCUGUCUUUAAACUCGCUGCUUCUUUCUUCAGCUGUGUUGAGUCUGCUGGUGAGCUUGUCACAGACCGUCAACCCAAUGAGCAGUGAGACAAUUCUGGACUCUCAUUUCAUCCACAGUGACCCAGGCACCCAAUUAUUGAAUGCUUUUAGAAGUCUUCUCAAAUGAAUCUCUAUGAACAGCAGUAAUAACGGUCUCAGGUCUGAAGUCCACUGCGGUCAGCCUUCCCUGGUGGUGAGCUGCUGUCAGAACCUCCCCACUACUCCUCUGGGUGGCCCCAG